rnacentral:rRNA from 1 species
AGAUGGGGAGCUUGCUCCCUGAUGUUAGCGGCGGACGGGUGAGUAACACGUGGGUAACCUGCCUGUAAGACUGGGAUAACUCCGGGAAACCGGGGCUAAUACCGGAUGGUUGUUUGAACCGCAUGGUUCAAACAUAAAAGGUGGCUUCGGCUACCACUUACAGAUGGACCCGCGGCGCAUUAGCUAGUUGGUGAGGUAACGGCUCACCAAGGCAACGAUGCGUAGCCGACCUGAGAGGGUGAUCGGCCACACUGGGACUGAGACACGGCCCAGACUCCUACGGGAGGCAGCAGUAGGGAAUCUUCCGCAAUGGACGAAAGUCUGACGGAGCAACGCCGCGUGAGUGAUGAAGGUUUUCGGAUCGUAAAGCUCUGUUGUUAGGGAAGAACAAGUACCGUUCGAAUAGGGCGGUACCUUGACGGUACCUAACCAGAAAGCCACGGCUAACUACGUGCCAGCAGCCGCGGUAAUACGUAGGUGGCAAGCGUUGUCCGGAAUUAUUGGGCGUAAAGGGCUCGCAGGCGGUUUCUUAAGUCUGAUGUGAAAGCCCCCGGCUCAACCGGGGAGGGUCAUUGGAAACUGGGGAACUUGAGUGCAGAAGAGGAGAGUGGAAUUCCACGUGUAGCGGUGAAAUGCGUAGAGAUGUGGAGGAACACCAGUGGCGAAGGCGACUCUCUGGUCUGUAACUGACGCUGAGGAGCGAAAGCGUGGGGAGCGAACAGGAUUAGAUACCCUGGUAGUCCACGCCGUAAACGAUGAGUGCUAAGUGUUAGGGGGUUUCCGCCCCUUAGUGCUGCAGCUAACGCAUUAAGCACUCCGCCUGGGGAGUACGGUCGCAAGACUGAAACUCAAAGGAAUUG